AAGGGCCCACAGCUUGGGGAUGAGACUAGUUGGAAAAGGUCAGCUUGCCCCGAAGUGGGGAUUCUGAAUUCAGUACCGUACAGGUGGUGGUGGAGCUGAUCCUGCAGGGCCGGCCUUGGGCCCAAGUCCUGAAAGCCCUGAAUCACCACUUUCCAGAAUCUGGACCUAUAGUGCGGGAUCCCAAGGCUACAAAGCAGGAUCUGAGGAAGAUUUUGGAGGCACAGGAAACUUUUUACCAGCAGGUGAAGCAGCUGUCAGAGGCUCCUGUGGAUUUGGCCUUGAAGCUGAAGCUGCAGGUGAGACUGGUUUGAAGGCUAUUAUGUGGCUAUUUUCUCUAACCCUUUUUUUUUUUUUUUUUUUUUUUAGGAAUCUUGCUCUGUCGCCCGGGUGGAGUGCAGUGGCACAAUCUCGGCUCACUGCAACCUCUGCCUCCCGGGUUCAAGCGAUUCUCCUGCCUCAGCCUCCCGAGUAACUGGGAUUACAAAUGCCCAGCUAAUUUUUGUAUUUUAGUAGAGAUGGGGUUUCACCAUGUUGGCCAGGCUGGUCUCGAACUCCUGACCUCAAGUGAUGUGCCCACCUCGGCCU
rnacentral:sRNA from 1 species